GUAAAAGAGAAUUCUUCAUGUAGGUAGCCUCGAAAGAUUUUUUUUAAGUUUUUACAUCUUUGGAAGAGUUUAAAAUGAUAACAACUGAGGAGCAAAUACAAAACUAUCCAAGUAGAGAUAUUGUUACUAGUCUUAGUGCAAAGUACAAGGUAUUAUGUAGCAGUUCUGGAAAUAUAGUCGAGAGCCCAUUUCUUUCAAAUAUGUUCUGUGAAAUAUUAGUUUCAAGGGUUGUCCCCAAGAAAGAGUUUUAUUGUUAAGUGUGUCAGGCAGGGGGAGGAGGAAGGAGGCUUGUUUAGACAAAGCAAGCAGACUUCUUUUCCCUAGGACUUCUCCCUGUAAUACACUCAUGCACAUUGUGAAUUUCCAAGGAGUCAAAGCAUACAAUGUUUUUCAGAAUUAUUUAUCGACAGAACCCUUUUGCUCAUGGAACAACUUACAGGGGCUAGAUUUCUCUUUGGGGAAACUAGAAGGGAAUAGAAAGUGGGUUAUUAGGAAAUAAAUCAAUUCCCUGAUAUUGAUAGUUAACAAAGUAUGGGGUUAUUUACAGUGUGUUAUUUUGAAUACAUAUUCAUUAACAAAAUCCAUAUGAAAGUUACAGGAGAAUUGCUAAACUAGAAUAGCAUACAUUGCUCUGUAUUUAUAAUACUCAACAUAUUUACCUGAUGUUUUCUGAGUCUUCACUUUUUUCUUUCUUUUGGAAUUGGUAAAAUAAGUGAUUCCUUGAAAAUUUUUUUCUAAAUAAUACCUAGAUAAAUAGAUUUAUAGAAAAUAGGUAUUUUCUAAAUAAUACCUAGAUAAAUAAGUUUAUAGAAAAAAUAUUAUAUGAAUGUUUUAACAUUAAAUAUGGAGCAUGUAAUUUUUAUACUGAAAGAUACUGUAGUUUUAAUACAUCAAAGAAAUAAUUUUAUGUUUAUUUUGGAAGUAGGAAGAGGAAAUUUCUAUGAAUAGGUUUUCAUCUCUUUCUUUCCCUGUUCUUCAACUUUGAACUUUUUACAUUAUAUUCUAAAUUUUAAUUAUAUUUCAAAAGAUUUUUUUCUUUUGCCUUUUAUUUUGGAGAAAAAUAUAUGUCAAAGUGUAUGUAUGUGUAUUUGUCUUUUGAUUUGAUCUUUUUUGACACUCUUUUGUAUUGACAUUAUUUUAACCAAAGGACACUCUAACGAGAGGAUAUUUUUGAUUGUUCAUGCUACUGGGGAAAAAAGAAUUUAAGUAGAAAUCAGCCUAAUAUUUAUGGCUUAUUUUGAUUGAAGGCCUUGGCCCUUAAAGCAAGUAAAUUUAAUGUGGAGAGAAGAGCUAAUGUAAUGGGGAGAAGGAACCUUUGUUACAGGUGUGGUAGUAUAGUUCUUUGAGUGACAAGAUUUGUUUGCCAACUUGGUUAGGAGAGAUCCGUAUGUCUGCUUUCUCUCUGAUAUGGCCUGGGAUCGCUGUGGUGAAUGAAUGAAAAACCUGUUUCAGGGCCUGACUCAGGAAAAGAGACAUAGCCCUUGAUGUGAACUGAAUUUUCUUGAGACUUGGAGACCUUCAGAACUACCUGAAGACAAAUUGAAGUGCUGCCUACUUUAGAGAAUUGAUGGACUAAUUUGAUUUGGGACUCAGCAGAUUUCAGUAUUAUCAGUCAUCAUAUAUACAGGUGACAAGACCACGUAGUUCAUAUCCUUCUUUUAGAUUCUAUAAGAUUAUUGUGUUCCAGUGAAAUUGAUUUGCAAAAUGAGACAUUCUAUUUAUUGUGCUUUUGUCUAUCAUGUUUCUGAUUGGUCAUAAGAAUCUCAAGUAAGGAAUUUGGCCAUUCUGAAGGUAACAAGCACAUUUAUGAUUUAUAGAAAAAUAUUUGAAGGACUUUUUAAUGGACCAAGUCAUGAAAAGUAGUAAUAUUCCUUUAAAUAUAAUUAUUAAAUAAUAUAUUAAUGUUCUUUCUUCCAACGUAUUACUCUCAUUCUUAAUUUUUUGAUUUCUGUGUACCUCCCCAGCUGAUAUCUCUUUUUUUCCUGCAUGUUUAGUUUUCACUCAUCCUUACAGCACAGCUCAAUUGUCCCCUUCAUGAAGCUUUCCAUAAUCUUCAUAGCUUCAUUAAUGUACUCCUCAUUAAUGUACUCUUGCCAUAUGAAACACUGUUUAUUUUGGCUUGCAUAUUUACUAUUUAAUGGGCCAUUUCUGUCACUAAAUCUUUUUCUUAUAGAACCUGGUAUAGUGUUGUGUUCUUUGUAAAAUCAGUUGACUGAUUUAACUCAGUAGAGUAGAGGCUGAUUAAAUAAAUCUGGUUGAUGCCAACAA